UACGGAGGAUCCAAGCGUUAUCCGGAAUCAUUGGGCUUAAAGGGUCCGUAGGCGGUUUUGUAAGUCAGUGGUGAAAGCCCAUCGCUCAACGGUGGAACGGCCAUUGAUACUGCAAGACUUGAAUUAUUGGGAAGUAACUAGAAUAUGUAGUGUAGCGGUGAAAUGCUUAGAGAUUACAUGGAAUACCAAUUGCGAAGGCAGCUUACUGCGCAGAUAUUGACGCUCAUGCACGAAAGCGUGGGGAUCAAACAGG
rnacentral:rRNA from 1 species